GUUUGCUAGAGCUGCCAUAACAAAAUGCCAGACUGGGUAGUUUUCAAGAACAGAAAUUCAAUUUCUCACAAUUUUAGAGAAGUCCAAGAUCAAAGUGCAGGCAUGGUUGGACUCCUCAGAGGCCUGUCUUGCAGAUGAACAACUUACUCUUUCUUUGCAUAAUCAUCACUCCAUCUUUGCAUACCUGCUGUCAUGGUGUUUUCAAAUUUUCUUAUAAGAAUACUAGUCAUGUUAUAUUAGAGCCCACCAUAAUUAUCUAAUUUUAACUUAAUUAGCUGUUUCAAGGACCUUUCUCUGCCGCAGUCCGGCUGCAGCAAAAUAACCUGGGGGUGAUGAACAACUUGUGUACAUUGAUACAGCAGGAGUGGGAGCCGUUUAUUGCAGGACAGGAGCAGUAUUUAUACAUUCCACAGAGCUUAUCUAAUUAGCAUAAACUAGAUACAUCAGUCAACCAAUAAGGAAUCUCUACACUUAAUGGCUCACUUUUGUUACUUCUCAAACCACUCCCUCUGGCAUUUUGCCAGGCACCAUCCAGACUUGUUUAUGAACUCUAACAUUCCCCUGGCUAAAUGCCAGGUGUUAUUUUGACUUGUUUACAGACUCUAACAUUUCUCCAAAUACAGUCACAUCCUGACAUACUGAGGGUUAGGGAUUCUACAUAUGAAUUUUGAGGGAAUACAGUUCAAUCUGUAACAGAAGAACCCCUAAAAUUAUUCUCACACUUUAAGCUACCCUCACAUCCAUCCUUGGAAGUGGGUUCUUUCCAACUUUUAUCCAUGUCUUUUUGAAAUCAGAAUGCUUUUUAAAUAACUGCCUCCUGGUUGAAUAUUUGAAUUAGUUAGCCACUCCAGUGUUGGGAACUACCACACCCUCUAUGGAGGUGCUACUUUGCUGGGAGUUAUCUAUAAUGACAGACAUCGGGAUGUAUUUGACAGUUUCAUAUGCUUCUUAGAAAUUGUCUUCCCUUCCAGAACCUCAUCCCGAUUCCUCUUUGUGAUCAGAAACAGAUCCUUAGUUGCAUUCUCGCUUAUCCCUUUCUGCCUCUAAGACAAGCCAUUGUUAAUUUCUUUAGCCUCUCACAACUACCUAAGUCUGAAUCAUGAACAGUAUUCAAAGUUUGAGGUACAAACUCCUUUUCCUAAUGACGUGCACUGUGUUUUUGCAAAGUAAGUUAUAUUUAUUUUUUCUUUCUUUUUUAAUGAGCAGCCACAAGAAAUGUUAAAAUUAAUUCCUGUAAUCCCAGGAGCUCAGGAGGCUGAGGCAGGAGGAUUGCAUGUUUGAAGCAAACUCAGCAACUCAGCAAGGCUGUAAGCAACCUGGUAAGAGCCUGUCUUAAAAAAAUAAAAAGGGCUAGAGAUGUGGCUCAGUAGUUAAGUACCCUUGGAUUCAAUCCCUGGUAGCAAAAUAAAUAAAUUAAUUAAUUAAUUAAUUAAUAAUUAUUGUUAACAUACCUCCAUUUAACCAUAUUUAUCUAAUAGAUCUGCAUGUAAACAGGGGAUGUGACAUUUUACUUACACUUUUUCUUAAGUUACUAUCUCAUUUAUGGAUCUUUGCUUUGUGGGAGUACAUCCAUGAAGUAUUCAUAUAUUUUCAGACAAUACAAUAAUUUCAAAAUUAAUUAUUUACCAUCAGUAUACAAAACUACUUUAAACAGAUUUCAGAUCAAAUAAGUCACAUUUUAUAAAUAGGCUUAGAUAUUUCAGUAGUAACUCCAUGGAACAACAGAACUAAAUGUUUAACUAGGGAUCACUACUGGCAGUUGGCUUAUAUAACUUGUUUGGGGAAUGGUGGCAAUCCCUACGUUGUUGUAGGACUGAUGUGAAAAAACAUUCUUGGGUUUUAUGGAAUAAAAGGAAAGAACAAGAGAGGAAAAAGAAAGAGGUUGUACUUACCAACCUCAGAGGUGGGGAAUAUGAAAAUCAGUCCAGUAGCAGGAAGAUGUAAUGGAGCCAUGUGAGCAUUGUAUGGAUUCCCUUCCUUAGAGCACUUUGGAUAACUGGGCAGUGGUAUGCCAAGAUGGAAAAAGGGAAAACCUGACCAUUACACAUUAACUUGGGAAAGAGUUAUGGAAACUCUCAGAGCCUGAGUUUUGACAAAUACUUCCCUUAGGUGUUUCGGUGAUGAAUUGAGAAGGCACCUAGCAGGAGGUCUGGUUUGCCAUAGAAACCAAUUCUCUUUUCUUGAGAAAGAAACAUUUCACCAUGACCUUCCACUGACUUUGCCAGUGGCUGCCAGAUAGUGCAGUGACUCUCAACCCGGUGUUACCUUAGUUUAGGUGAAUUCCUAAGCAAAAAAAAAAAAAAAAAAAAAAAGGUAUUUUGUUCAUAUUCCAAAUUCGUGAGUAGUUUAGUUCUGAUAUAAACGAGAGAAGACUCAAUUUACCAUCAGCAUAUUCUUACUUGUGUUUCAAUACACUCUCUUGACUGGGAGAGAAGGGAUGGAGCUAGGACUACUACACUGAGAAUUAGGUAAAACCCUGACACACCCAAGGGUGUGUGCCUGGUAUGUGAAAGAUAUGCAUCCUGUUUACAAAUGGCACUGUGCUGGAUAAGGCCGCUUGCCAGGGGUGCUGAGAAGAUUACUUUCAGCUGGACAUACCGAUUGGAAGACCACAACACAUGGUCAAGGAGAGCCACACCUAGAGCAGCUGCAAGAAGCCCCAGCUCUCAGAAUUGUUGGGCCCUGGAGCCCUGGUGACAGACAUGGAAGCCAAGGGCAUGUUUUGCUCAGGGAACUAGAUCUCUUUAUCUCUGCACAAAUUAUACCUGGGGAUCAUCCUUCAUAAUUUCUUCAUGGACAGAGAAGUCCUAAAGAUGUUGAUGAGUAACUCAGUUUUCAAAAUCCAAGUGGAGGUUAGAGCCAGAAAAGUGUUACCUAAGCCCAAGAUAAAAGAGAAGAUUAUAGGCCGACAUCUGAGUAUUCUGGAACACAUCGUGUAAAUAACCAAUAUCCUGAAUGACAAAACAAAUUUCACAAACCAGUCACAAGUAAACAUAGCACCAGAGUCAUUCAAUGCACAACUUUGUCUCUGAGCAAAACACCCAAUUUUACUAUAUCCCUUAAUCAACACUUUUUCUGUCCUAUGUAUGAUUUAUUCCAGCUAAAAUAAAUAUAGCCAUGGGAAAUGGAAAUGUUUAUUAUUGGGAAACCCAUCAAAAAUGUUUAUAGGUAGGAUAAAAAAAAACCUCAUAUAUUCACACUUUCCUUAAACAACUUAUGUUUAUGUGAGAAACAUAUCUGGGAAGAUAAAAAGGGAUAAUAAAAAAGUACAUUAGAAAGUAUAAUGUGGUGUAAAGUAUUUGUACACAUGUGUAUGAGAUCAUCAAAGGAAAAUUAGUUUACCGACCUGUAGCAUUGGGAAAGGUCAAUGAGGGACAUCAAGAGGUCUCUUUGCUUAUUUGGUUUGUGUUUUGUUUUUGCCAGGGAAUUUAAUAGCAACCAUAAAGAAAGGAGAAAGGGGAAAAGAAGUAUGUUCUAAGGAGAGACCAGGCAAAAACACCAAGAGUGUUUUAACGGGAGAGGUAAGUGGAAUUAGCUGGGGGGGGGGGCUGUUAAUGUUAAAAUAGGUGAAAAAUUUAGAUCAGAUGGGGGAAUGGUGGCGAUUCCUAGGUUGGAUAACUGUGGGCAGCUACUCACUGCAUGUUUCAAUCAUGGACUGACAUAUUUUAACAUUUUCUGGAUAGGCUUUGCCAGUGGGGACUAUAUUGGGAGAUUUAAAGGAUAAGAAAAUAGGAAUCAAGAAGAACAGAAAGAAGAACAUGCCAGAGAUUUCUGGUAUAACUAGAGAGGCAAUCAGCAAAAAGUUUGUUCAAAAAAAUCAUGGUGGAAACUACUAAUAAGAAGCCCAAAGGAUGACUGUGUGCAGACAGAUUUCAUUGACUGAAUGAAUACUCACUGAGUUGUGUUGGGGGUUAACAUUCUGUGUUGCAAAUGAAGUGACAUAAGUUUAAUCAGGCAGUAAAGGGGGAGGAUUUGUACUCAGUUCUGUCUCACCUGAACACCUCUAAUUAGUAUGCUGAAUUACAAAGGAGAAAAGGUGAUUUUAAACUUUUUUUAAAAAGAAAGAAAUAAUAAAUUCAAUAUUUAGCUUGUAUUUAGGAAUCAGAAAUACAUAACUACAGAAAGUAACUCGAGUAUGAUGUAUACAUUUUCAAGGGAAGAUGAACCAUGGAUGAAUAUUGGAAAUAUGCCCGUGGGCAUUGUUUGUCACAACUGAUGAUUUAUCCCCAAUGAAUGUGUUGAAAACUACUCAGUGGAAGUCAACAACACAACAUUACAAAUAAGCAGAUAUGUUUUGUGCUGACUUUUAAGAACCCAAUAGGUAAUGGGAGAUUUGAAUAGGAAUUGGGAAAUGAAUUAUAAAUACCCGUGUGUAUUAGUUAGGAUUCUGCAGAGAAACAGAAGCAAUAUUUUAUAUAUAUAUAUAUAUAUAUAUAUAUAUAUAUAUAUAUAUAUAUAUAUAUAUAUAUAUAAAACCUUAGGUGUAUAUAUAUAUAUAUAUGUGUGUGUGUGUGUUUGUGUGUGUGUGUGGAUUUGGUGCAGAGAUUUUGGAGGCCAAAUCCCACAAUAUGCCUUCUUCCAGCUGGAGAACCAGGGGAGCCAGGGUUAUAAUUCAGAAUCUAAGAGCCUGAGGACUGGGGUGACUGUUGAUUGAAGUCCCAGAGUCUGGAGGCUUGAGAUCCUGGAGUUCUGAUGUCCAAUGACAGAGAAGAUGGAUGUUCCAGCUCCAGGAAAAGAGAGAGAAUCUGCUCUUCCUCUGCCUUUUUGUCCGAUUCCCACCUUCACUGGCGUAAUAAUGCCCACCCAUUGUUGAGGGUGGAUCUUGUGCUAAUGUCUUUCAGAAGCAGCCUUAUAAUACACUUAGAAAUAAUGUUUUCCCAGCUAUCUGGGCAUCUUCUUAAUCCAGUCAAGUUGACACAUAAAAUUAACCAUUCUAUUCUGUAAAUAUGAUGUGAGAGAGAUCUGAUUUACAUUUUCAUAUCAAGGUUAUUUUCCAAUGCAUAGAUACAUUAGAAUAAGAAUUUUUGAGAAGUGAAAAAUAACAUCCUAGCAUAAUUUCCAAAAUCGUGUACUAUGGAACCCUAAUUCUGCAAUGUGGUACUAAGGUGUUAAAUGCAUACGUGAAAGGAGUUCUGUAAUCGAGUUUGCAAAAUACAGCCAAAUACAUUAAACAAAUGUCUUUAUUUUAGAAUGCUUAUUACCCUUUAAAUGCUAAGAUGUGUUUCGAAUUUUAAAGAUGAUAGUCUUAGUAUGAAGCAUCCCCUCCUUUCCAGUUUGUUUUGUUUACUGUGUCAACUCCUAGGACUAUGGUGACACAAAACAAGUGUUAGGGAACUCUGCGUUGGAAGCAUUUUAAUGGGACGCUUAGAUUUUUUUUUUUUAGACCUGUAUAGAAAUAAACGUUUUUAGUGCACAUUUUUAAUCAAAGCAAAUGGGUUCUUUCUACUAAAAGGUGUUUGCAUGCAUGACCUUGAAGAUAAAUUAGAGGAAGAAUAUAGAAAUAUUAGGCUGACAGAUAUUUUAAAGUAGGGCAUGGCAUGCCAUAAAAAGCAUUUUGGAAGUUUAAAGUGGGAGUUAAAUUGUGUGUUAUAUGGAAGAUAGUGGAUCAGAGUCUUUGAAUAUUUUUUGUACUAAUGUGCCAGUGUAUGACCAGCUCCUUCUCAGGGAGAGAAAGGAGACAGAAUUCAACUCACAAUGGAGACUUUUCUUUUUAAAUUUUCAUGUGAGGAAAAAAAGGAAGUAUUGUUAAGUUUACAAAGAUAAGCCCGAGGAUAGGACUAGAGUUCACUGUCUUGCCUUUAAUUAUGCAGGGGAGAGACCCUCAGGAAGGGGCUGAGGACCCUGUGAAGAGAGGUAAAGAGUUCCAGGAGGAGAAAUAAGGCAGACAGCUGUGGGAUCAACCCUGAGAGGUGCUUUUUACUGAAAUUUCUCAUGAAGUAUACAUGGAAAGCAAGGGCAUAGUGAGAAAUACAACUCUCUGUGUCAAAAAAAUAAAUCUGAAUUUCCAUGGUUUUUCUCUGUUAGUCCUUAUUGAAAAAUUCAUUUACCACUAACAGUGUCAAGCAGCCCUGUCAGCCCUCAUUAUUGUGACAAAAAGAAAACUACGGAAAAGGUUUAUGGAGCCAAGUCUGAAAAGGAAUGUUGUCAUUUCUGUUUUCCAACUGUCAGUGAAAACAGAUUCUGUUAUCUAAACCUCUUAGAGCCAAGGUGCAAAUAAUCACAUUGCUCUGCUGAGUUUGUGAAGCCUGGUAAGAGGUACUGACCAACAGGCCCAUUUCCUCUCUCAGGGGGAGAAUAAAAUAAGCAAGGAAAACGGUGGAAACACAAAUCCUGGUUUUCACAUAGUUCUAGAGCCCUAGCAAUAACCCAGGCUUAAACAAUGUGAAAUAUCAAAUAUAACAUAAUUUUUUUUUGACCGUAGUUUUCUGAAUGUCAAUGGUACCACUGCAUCCUCAGUUACAUAGGAGCUCCUGGAUUUUUUUUUUAAAUUGGGUUCUAUCAAUAUUGUUUGAUGCUUUUCCACCCAAAUCUCUAAACAGCUCCCAAAGCCAUAAGCAACCUGUGCCUAGAAAAAGACCCACUAACCUAUUAGAAACCUUGCUGAAAUAACUCAGGUAUUUAAUACUAUCCUGUUGGUCUCAGUAAUCCAACACCUUGAAAACAUCCAAUGUGAAAGGUGUAUUAACCCCAGUGAAGAAGCCCAGACCAGCAGUGAUGUGCAAUCAUUCAUGGGCCCACUUGUUUCUGGAAUUCGUCUUUAGUGAUGAUCUUGCAGUGUGAGAUUUACUCUCCACCAACCAAAGCACAGAGCGGCUUAGAGCUGUACUGCUUCUCAGAAGUGAGCAGUUGCGGUAUCACAUGUCCUAAUAACUCUGUGAGUAAAUAGUUUUUCAUCCUGAUUUUUCAAGCCCAUCACACUUGGAUGCCUGGCUCAGAAGACUUUUUCCUCUUGUUUCUGAACUUCGGCGAUAAGGAGGCAUUUGAUUCAGCUUGAUUCUCCUUAAUCGGAACAUGUCAGUGCACCUCCUACAGACUCCAUGAUGGCCUGGAACCUUUCUUUAAUCACUGUCUUCUCGUUUCUGUGACUUGAGAAAGAAUUUAGAAUUAGAAUGUUUAGAACUGAAGUGGUCACUUAGGCUGAGGUUCUAACUGAUGAGGACUUACCAGAGACCCGGAGAAGUGGCAUAUCUCAUAUUGACCACAAUUAUCGGCAGAGGUUGGCCUUAGUCUCUCAGAUUUCCCAAUCUCACUUCACCUUGUGGUGAUUCCCAAACCUGUCAAUCUCACCAGACCCUAGUCAUAAAAACAGUGGGGCAUAAAGACCAGAUGUACUUUAUAGACAAAAAUCUGGCUAUCUUUCUAGAAUUUUGGAAUUAGAACCGCAAAAGCAGGUGUCAUUUUGCAGUGUGUUUGAGACAAUCAUCUGGCUGCUACUUCCUUAGUUUCUGUUGUCGGGAGCCAGUUCAGGACACAGCAUUUUACUGGAAUGCUUUUGUCGUUAGAUUGAACUAAAAUUUACCUUCUCUUUGCUUCUAUCCUUAAGUUCCAAUGCUGUCAUGUGGGGUGACACUAAAUGCAAAGAGUGACUAUACUUUCACCCGUCGGGCACUCCUUUAGAAGUGGAAAGGCAGUUAGCCAAUAUUGCCCUAGGUUUUUCUUUUCUUCUCAAAGCUGAACAUCUGAUUUUCUAAACUUUUUAUGAGACUGGUUGGUGAAUCCCUCAUGAUGUCGAACUUUGGAUGUACUGCUUUCCACAAAUGAUCAUUCUCUGUAUCCACAUGUUUAAUGAAUGCCUACUAAGUUGAAAGACAUUUUAAAAACCCCAAGCAUCUAAAUAAGAAAAUAUAGUGUGUUAUGUAAUGAUAUGAGCAAUGGAGAAAAUUAAACAGAGUAAGGGGAGAUAGAGAACGUGCAUAGCCAGGGGCUUAGAGACUUGAUAUUAUGUUUAGGGUGAUCAGGAGAGGCCUGAAAAAGUGACCUUCAAGCAAAUAUGAAGGAAAUAAAGGAGGAGGACUUGCAACUAUUUGGGGGAGAAGAUAUAGAAUAGGGUAGAGCUCCUGUGGUAGGAAUGAAUGAAUCUGAACUUUUGUAAGAACAGCAAAGAAACCUUGAGGCUUCAGUGGAAGAAAUAUUGUGGGGAGAGUUGGUGGUAAAAGGUGAAGUCAGGGAGGUUGUUAUGGGACAAACCGUUUCCCCCAAAGAAGAUGAAAUUACGACACAUACUUGUACACAGGAAGGACCAGAUUAGGACAUAGAAGAAGGUAUCCAGUCACCAGGCAUGGAGAGGCCCCAGAAGAAACUAACCCUGCCACACACUUGAUCUUGGACUUCCAGCCUUCAGAACUAUGAGAAAAUAAAUUUUUGUUGUUUAAGCUACUAGACUGUGGCUCAUUGCUAUAGAAGCCCUAGCAUUCUGUACAGGUAUGUGUGUGUGAAGAUAGAUGGAUAGAUAAGGAUAGAUAGAUAGAUAGAUAGAUAGAUAGAUAGAUAGAUAGAGAUAGAUAGAUAGAGGCCAGAUAGUAUAAAAACUUGAAAUACAUUUUGAAUAAUUUGAGCAGAAUGGGAGCCAGUGGAGUUUUUUUGAGCAGAUUAAGGGCAAGAUUUGCUCUAUAUUUUAAAGGGCUUACUCCAUCUUCUGUAUUGAAAGUAGUCCAGGGGCUGGGGAUGUGGCUCAAGCUGUAGUGCGCUCGCCUGGCAUGCGUGCGGCCUGGGUUCGAUUCUCAGCACCACAUACAAAUAAAGAUGUUGUGUCCGCCGAAAACUAAAAAAAAAAAAAGAUUCUUUAAAAAAAAAAAAAGAAAGUAGUCCAUAGGGCAACAAGAAGAGAAGACUGGUAGGAGGUGAUUGCAGAAAUUUACACUAGGGUAGGAAGUAAGAAGAGAGGAGUUUUUCAUUACAUUUAGAAGUCAGAGCCAAAAGGAUGAUCUGAUGAAUUGGAAUUGUGAUAUGUGAAGGUGGUAAGAGUCAAGGAGUCCUGACAAACCAAGGCUUUUGGCUGUGGAAACUCAAGAAUGUUUGUUCAUCAAGAUGGCAGACUGUAGGAACAGACUCCAGUGGGGAAGGACAAGAGUUUCGUUUGGACAUGUUAAGUUUACAGUGCUUACUCAUCUUUGAGUUUGAGAUCUUAACUAGGCCACUGGGAUGUAUUAACUUGGAAUUUAGAAAAGUGGUCAAGACAAAGAUAUAGAUAGUCCCGAGUAAGAUCAUCAUUUGUGUGUAAUGAGGCCAAAAAGAGAAGACAUGGGAUUGAGUGCUAGUGCACUUGGAAGUUUCAAAGUGGUUAAGAUGAGCAGCAAUGAGCAAAAGGAUAAAGAAGGAGAGAGAGGGAGAGAGAGAGAGAGAACACACAAGUAACUCAGAAAGGAAAUGACAGAGUGAUUUCCAAGAAUCUGAGUCGAGAGUGUGUUUGAUGAGGAGUGAACGAUUCCUAGGACAAAUGCUAGAGACCCAUCAAAUAAGAUAUGGCCCCUCAUCAAUGAUAGAAGUCACAGGUGACAUUAUACCAGAGCAGAUUCAGGGAGUGGAAGGGACAGAAGUAUGAUUGAAGUGGAUUCAGAAGAGAAUAGGGGAGAGAAAUUUGAGCCAGCAAUUGUAAAAAUAUUCUUUUGAGGAUUUUUGCUAUAAAAGGGCAAAGAAAUUGUAUUGUAUCUUAAGAGAGAACACUAAGAGCCUGUUACUUUUUUAAGUAGAAGAUAGUACCAUGUAAUCAUAGGCAGGGGGAAUGUUUCAGUAACAAAGAAAUAUGACACUGCAAGGAGGGGGACCAUUGUUGGAACAACGUCCUGGAGUAGAUCAGAAGAACUGGUACACAGAUCCCUUGGUAAAGCGGAUCCUAAGAAGGCCCAGCACCCCAAACGUGCUGUGUUGGCUUUUAUGUAGCCAUAUGCCCUGUGUGUCUAUUUAAGUUAAAAUUGAUUUAAAAUGAUUUCAUUUCAUUUUCAGUUCUUGAGUUGCACCACCAUAUUUCAGGUGUUGAGUGACUUGUGACUUGCUGGUGGCCACAUGUGCUGGACAGCACCAACAAAGAAUAUGUUGAUCAUCAAAGAAAGUUUUAUUGUAUAGCUCAGAGAUGAGUAAUAAAGUAGGCAGACAUGCCCAAACACAUAUGCUGGGUGGAUUUGGUGGUUGAAGGUUGUUGUGGAAGAUCUUUUCUCAUUUCUUCUAUCUUCUCACUUAAAUAGGAAGCAAGGUCAUGGGCUUUGGGUCUAGAAAAGAAUUUGGAGCUUUUAGGAAAAGGUGUGCACUGUGGUCUGUUAUUUCCCAAACUACAUCAUUUGAUUGCUACAUGGCAGUGUUGGGAAGUGGGCCCUUUUAGAGGUGGUUAGGUUGCUACUAGGGAUGAAUGUCUUUCUCCAUCACUGGAUUAGUUACCCAUGAGCAUGAUUUGUUAUAAAGCAAGGCUGUCCCUUGUGUUUGGUCUUCUUGGCACUUGCCCUUCUGCUUUUUACCACCUUAGGAUUCAUCACAAGGCCCUCACCAGAUUUGAACUCCUGAUCUUAGAUUUCCCAGCUUCCAGAUCCAUGAUCUGACAUGAACUUCUUUCCUUUAUAAAUGACCCAUUGUUGUAAUUGUAAUACAAAAUAAAUCAACAUAGUGCAGAAUAUGUCUCUUAGGAGACAGAGAUACAAGGGACAAUGGGGUAAAUGGUAGGAUUGCUGGUCAGCUUUUAAGAUUUACAUCAGGUUGACAGUCUCUAAUUUAGGGGAGCCAAACUGCAUCUAUAUUUCCAAUAAGGAUGCAGUGUUGUUGGAAAGUUAGAGCUGCUCAGAUGGUUUCAAACCUGGCUGCACAUUGGAAUCACCUGUGUGAACUAUUUAAAAAGUUAGAAGCCUCUUCUCCACAGCUAGAUGAUCUGUUUGAAUAGUCUGGAAAUGGGCAUUGAUCUAUUUAAAGAACCCAGGAUAGUUCUAACAGAGCUAUGUGUUUGAGAACAGCUGCAUUAGAGAAUGUGGAGGAAAUGUGCAGAGAACUGAAAGAUAAGAGAGCUUUUUGCUGAUGGAUCACAGGCCAGACAAGGUGCAAAGAAAGAGAUUCAGGAGUUGUGGAGGGAUAGGAGAUGGAAUGAGAUUGGGAGUUUUCGAGGCUGAUGGUGGAUGAGAGAUGAGCUGGCAAUUCAGGGCUUCUUUGUGACUAAUGCAAACUGAUAAAGAACACAGUGAGGAUUGCUGUGCUUGUCUAAAUCCCCCCAGUUAGCAAAUAUAAUGCAAACCACAUAGGUAAUUUUAAACUUCUUGAUAUCUGAUUAUAAAAGAAACAAGCAAAACUUUAAUAGUGAUAUAUUUUACAUUGCAGAACAUUAUUUCAGCGUUUUAAAUGAAACGUUUGACACCUUUUUCUUUAAUCCCUAGUUGUCCAAGUUUGGUGUGCACCUUACACUUAAUGCAUGUCUCAAUUCAGAGCAGACACAUUUCAAGUGCUCAUGUAUGUAGUGGACAGUGCGGGUCUAGCUUGUGGUGGUGAGGCUGUAAAUGUGUGAUUUCUGUGGAACAUGCCUCCCACAAUACAAACAUACUAUAAUAUAUUCAAUCUUUAAUCAGUCAGCAUGAUUAUGUAUAAUUAUGUUCUUAUCUAACCCAGUGUAGCUUGUCCAUAAAAGUAUCACAAGUGUCUUAGUCAUAUGCUCUGCUAAAGUCUGAAAAUGUCAUGUCGGCCACCUUUAACCUAAGAGAGGUUAAUCUGGCACACAUUUCCUGGGGAGUCUGUGCCAGUUUCAGCUUCAAGAGGUCCCUGCUUCUUCUCUCUGUGGGUUUUCAUGCUAAUCCUUCAAUAGUGUAUUACACACACAGCUCCCAUUUGUGUGGAGGUGAUCUUUUCUGGUUUCUGACAAAGUAAUUGACUUCGGAGGGUGAAAGAAAGGAACAUGAACAACCACCUGUCAUGCAAGUAGUGACCCAGUUGUAUGCAUUUCUGUUCACCACACUAGAUUUUAAGGACCUAAAUUAUGACCAGAGCACAGAUACGGUGAAUUGGACACAUACAAGCUAACCCGGGUCUAUCAGUUCCCACGUAGUGACCCUCUGAGGAUUAGAAAAACUCUAUUGCUCUUUUCCUGUAAAAUGAGAAUGAUACAGUUUGCUUGCUGGUGUUGUUCAGUGGCUUAGAGAUGACAUCUGCUAAGUGCUGGGCACAUAAUGGACAUUCAAUAAAUGCUAGCUGGUGUUGAAACCAUGGACUUGGCUUGGACAAGGACUUUCCUCUGGUUCAUUUGGUUAUUAGAUACAAUGACAAGGAAGAGAUCACACAAACCAGGCUGAAUCCCAGUGAACUCAGACAUGGGCAGGGGAGAAGUGAGGCCCUGCUGGGACAUCUUCAGCAAAUGCCUGAUAUUCUUGUUUGUCUUACUGGAGGAUUCUGAUGGGCUUCCUUUGGUCUGAGAUGUUCUGGCCUCUCUCUGCCUCACUCUCUCAAAUUUAUCAAGACAUAAUUCACAUAUCGUACAAUUUACUCAUUUAAAGUGUGAAACUUAUUAAUUUUUAAUAUAGUCACAGAUAUGUGUAAUGAUCAACGUAGUCAAUUUUAGAACAUUCUCAUCACCUCAGAGAGAAACCCUCUGAGUCUCCCUGCCCCGAGCCCUAAUCAACUACUGAGUUACUUUCUGUCUUUAUAGAUGUUCAUGUUCUGAACAUUUCCUAUAAGUGAACUUAUCCAAUGUGUAGUCUUUGGUACUGGCUUCUCUCACUCAGCUCAAGGUUUUCAAGGUUCAUCUGUGUUACAGCAUGUGUCAGUACAUCUUCCCUUUUCGUGGCCAAAUACUAUUCCAUUGUGUGAUGGAGCACGUUUGCUUAUCCAUGCACCAGUGUAUGAGGGUUUGCAUUGUUUCUACCUUGAUUAUUAGGAAUUAUGCUGUUGCAAAUACUUGUGCACAAGUUUUUGUGUGGACCUUAAAAAAAAAAUUCUCUUGAGAAUGUGCCUAGGAGUGGAAAUAUUAGUUUUCAGCCUUCGAAAGAUAAAAAGUUAGUGGUUUUAGUGAUUCUUCCCUCAUGUCCCUCAAACACUUUCCUAUGGGAAUUCUGCUUUUGCACUGUAUGCCCAUUCACUGUUAAAAGUGGCUGAGGGCUGGGGCUGGGGCUCAGUGGCAGAGUACUCGCCUAGCAUGUGUGAGGCACUAGUUAGACACAUAAAACCGUGCCACAUAUAACUAAAUAAAAAAUAAAGGUCCAUCAACAACUAAAAAAUUUUUAAAAAGUGACUGAGAAUUUACUGCAUAUUGGGUGCUAUUCUAGGUCCUGGCUAGUUCGGGGCAUAUUGGGUUCCUGUUUCUCCUGGGCCAAGAUGGAGUCUGAUAGCAGCAUAACUACUAAUACUUGAAGCAGAUAUAAUUGUACGCUACCUUGUGGGAUAAUAUGUUACUGACAAGAUGUUCUCAACUCAUCUUGGGAAUAGAUCUCAAGAUCAUGAAGAAAGACACCUAAAAAGGGAAUUGAGUAGAGAGAGGCUGGCGUAAGGUGGGGGCCUUUCCAGACACAGGAAAAGUGUAAGCAGAGACUUAGUUUGGAUUAUUAAUAACAUAGUACAAGUAGUUUAGUGUGAGUGGAUCAUAAAACUUUCAGGGUAAAGAACCUUCAAAGAAGGUGAAAUAUAACUCCUUAGCAUAUAUAGCUUAUCAAUGAGAAGUUAUUAUUAAGUGAAGGAAGAUUAUGCAGUAAUUUAUAACCGCCCACUUGAUAGCUGUGUGACAUCAGACAAACAAUUAGCCUCUCGGUGCCUUAUUUGUCAUCAAAUGUUGCAUGGGAAUUAAACAUCAUGAAUACCUCCUUUCUAAAGUGAAACUCAAAUUGCUAAAAAUAAAAAAUUAAAAAAGCCUAAAGAGCCUUAUAAUAGUACCCCAAAUAUAGCCAAGUCUUGAGCAUAUUAAAUUAUAUAUAAUAGAGAUAUGUCAUAGAUUAUAUUCCAGAUUAAACAGAUUGAAGUGAAGAAUUAAAAAAAAAAAGAAAACAAAGCAGAAGGAUUUCAAGCUGACUGGAAACUGAGCAUCAAAGAAACCAACCCACUAAUGCCACAACCUGGAGAAGAAAAUUCCUACCCCAAGUUCAAGUCUGCACUUAUCCUUCCUAAACUCCACCCUCCAUGAUUCAUAAAAGAAACAUACCUUCUAUCUAACCUCAACUCCUCCUAAAUAGUUGUUUUGGAAUGUUCAACGUGCUCAUCAAAUGGUGAUUGUUCGGUCUGAGCCUACAUAGCUAUCCAAUAGGACACCUUCCUUCUUGGAUUGUGUGCUUCCGAUGUAUGCCUGUGGAUUUCGGCUGUUUCCAGGUCUUUAAAAUGAUAGAGGUCUGGCAUUUUAUUCUUGCAUUUGUGCCUCCAGUGGUCACCAACUCCCCUCUUCUUCUUUUUUUCUUUUAGUGGUACCAGGGAUUGAACUCAGGGGCACUCAACCACUGAGCCACAUCCCCAGCCCUUUUUUGUAUUUUAUUUAGCGACAGGAUCUCACUGAGUUGCUUAGCACCUAGCUAAAUUGCUGAAGCUGACUUUGAAUUUGAGAUCCUCCUGCCUCCCCCUCCCGAGCAGCUGGGAUUACAGGCUUGUGCCACCAUGCCCGGCCCUCCCCUCUUCUUUUUGAAAGCUAGAUAUCUUCAUCUUUGAUCUGCAUUUUUUCCUUCAACUCAUGGAAGCCACAUAUAAGCAAAUGGGGGUGGGGAUAUUCCAAGAACACAGCACCCCUCUGUGUUUUUUUUUUAUUGUUGGUUGGCAGUGUGGGGGCUCCAACCCAGGCUCUCACUCAUGUUGGGCAAGUGCUCUACCAUUGAGCCACACUCACAGAGCACAGCAGCCCUUCAACUUGGGUGUCUAACCGCCUCCAGAGCCUUUACUCCCACUCACUGCUCUCAUACCCAUGAAUUAGCAAGAAGACCAAGGGCUGUGGUCAUGCCUGCUGUCCCUAAAGGUCCCUGGCUCAGUCAUAAUGAAAGAACAAGAUGAAAAGAAAUGGCUGUGUCUGUGAUUCCAUUCACUUGCAGAACUGUCUUGCUUCUCGAGUAGUUGUCCCCAUGAAGGAGCGACAAGCUACAGAAAGAUAUGGUGGAAUCUUCUGGAAGCUAAACAUAAAGGACAGAAAAAAUUAAAAAAGGCCGGGUUUAAAUUAAGUAUCUAAACAUCCAUAUUCUCAAGUUACUCUAAGAUCAUGCCAUAGGGUAUUCUCCAUUACAAAGUUCCUCAAGGCCAGUAAUGAAGGGAGACCUUACUCCAGUGAAAGUGAAAUUUCCACCAGUACUGGUAAUUUGGCUCUUGACUUAUAAAGUAUGGGAGUUGCCUAAAUUACCACCAUUUGUGACAUAAAAAUUUGAAAGUUGCAUUAUCCACUGAAAUGUGCACAGUGGCUAUUAUUGAUAGAAUGUCAUUUCCAGAAUUGAAUUCAUGGGAUAGGGCUGCAUUUAGAAUUUAAGUUUUUAUUAUAUGCACCAGUUAAAACAUUGUGUUUUUUCUUCAUAAUUCUUUACCUGCUGUCAAUUACAGGCUACCAAAUUACUGAAUUUUAUUACUUUAAGUAAUGUUUUAUGUAAUGAUAACGUGUGUGUAUGAAAAAAAACUAUCAUCAAUAUAUAGGAAGUUCUACUUUUCUUUUGAUAAAAUUAAACCUGAUUUUAUAUAUAUAUAUAUAAAGACCCACAAUCAACCCUUUCUAUUGGGCUUGUGUACCCACCUUGUGGCUGCUAUGUGAGCUGCAAAACCCCCACUACCCCAUUCCUGGAGAGUUGUUUGCAAUAGAUGGGGGACACCUCACCAGAUAUAUCCCCAACCAGAGGCAGCACACAUCCGAUUGAUUGGUAUGAAAGUCCUGCUUAUUUUCUCAAGGUGGGGCAAUUUUUGUGGUCUCUCUCAUUCCAAGACUUCCUGUGAGAUCAUGCUAAGACUACAUUUCAACUAAAACCGCAUCUUUGCUUCACUUUUUCUGCCCCCUCCUGCUUCUCUUACUUCCUUAGAGAUUUCUUCUGAGGCAUUCCUUCAAUAAGUCACUUAUUACAUAAGAAUCCCUCUUAGACUCAGCCUCUAGAAUAUUCCACCUGAGACUAUUGUGAAAACACCCCUUUGUUCCUUAGUCCAUUCUCCGAUGCUAUAACAGAAUAUUUGAGACUGGGUAAUUUAUAAUGAACAGACAUUUAUUAGCUCAUGACUCUGGAGGCUGAGAAGUCCAAGGAGGGUACUGGUCCUUGGCCAGGCCCUUUGUGCUUCGCCAUCCCAUGGAUGAAGAUAAAAGGAGACAAUAGCUACAGAAUAAGAGAAGGUCAAACAACUCACUUUUAUAACAACCCAUUUCUGCAAUAAUGACAUUAAUCACCUUAUCACCCCUUAACAGUUCUAACUUUUAAUAGAAUGGCAAUUACAUUUCAUCAUGAGUUUUGGAGGGACCAUCCUAACCAAAGCAGUUCCAAGUGGGAUAAAUAUUAAAAAAUGUUAAAAUAAAAUGAUACAAAUUAUUAAAAAUGAUAUGAAAAGGCACCCACUUACAAAAUAAUAAAGGAUAUGCACUUAAGUACAUAGAAAUAUCACAGAUGUUUGGAAACAUUGGCAUUUAGUGCCAAAUAAUGUUAAAAUUGGACACUAUUUUGUUGUAUAAGUAAAGAAGCAUAGGAAGUCAAAGGUUAACUGUUGAUGCCUCCCGCCAAGAACAAAUGUGUACGUCCAUGAACUUGUAUUUAAUGGUGAUGACCUUGUUGGCUACAUCCUGUUUGACAUUUACAGAAAAAUGUGUGAUAAUGGGAUUGAUGAAUUCAUUAGCAUUAAGAAUGAAUGUGCGAAAACAGAGAAUCUUUAACACAUUUUAUUAAGUGUGAACGAAAAUCUGUUGGUUGGGAGGGAACAAAGAUUACAAAUGUUUCAAAGUGGAUUCCCAAGUGGGGAGGAAAAUUAAACAAUCCUAUAUUACUCUAAAAGGUCAAAGGAUGGAAGGAACAUCUCACAGGUGGCAUUGCGCUCAUGUGGACAGCAGGACAGAGGAGAUGACAUUACCAUCAUGUGGUCAGCAGGACAGAGGAGAUGACAUUACCAUCAUGUGGUCAGCAGGACAGAGGAGAUGACCAGGACAGAGGAGAAGCCCAAAACUGGAGGAUGAGCCUCAAGGGAAGUGCCAAGUGCUGAGUCAGACACUGGACAAGGAGUUCUCUUGUGAUUUUUUUCAAAAGAAAAAACACUAGAUUUUUGAGAUUGAGGUUCAUUGAUUGACUGAUUCAGCCAAUGUUGAGACAGCGCCUCUUAUGUGCUGAGUGUGUGCCCACCGCUGUGGUUACAGACAGGCAAAGGCAGAGAUUAGCCCCCAAGCUGUGUGCUGGGUUGUAUUGUUUCUGGCUUUAUUUUCUGUGAUUUUUGCACAUCAUUUCUGGGUUUUAUAGGCUCAAUCUUCAUUUAUAUGGUCUCCUAGGGAUUUCAAACGUUUAGAGAUGACUAAGUCUUUCCUGAUCGCCUUAACGUCUUCAGUUAAUUUAUAUUCCAGAAUUGUCACUAGGAAAAAAAAAUGGAUGUUUCCUUUUCCCCAGAUAAAAUACACAACGGCACAGUUUUGGUAAUUUAAUGUGGAUAUUCUAAAUUAAAUAUUCUCUAUAUUCAUUGUUUUCUCUGAAAACUGAAAAUGCUACUUAGACCUUUGUGAGUCCUUGGCUGAGUGUUAGUAUCUAAGUUGUAAAAUUCAAGAUUCUCAAGCCCAAGAACUCCCACGUGUGAGAAAUUAGGAUUCCUUGUGUCUUGUGAGAGAGUUCAGCAUCUUGAUUUAUUUCUCCUUGUCAAUCCCCAACCUACCAGUAUUUCAGUAACCAUGGUGACCAGUAAUCGUGAAUACCUGUUCAUUAUACCUGACUUCUCUCAUCUUGGAGGAUUUUAUUUUAAUAAAUUGAAUGUGUUAUUAGUAUAUAUAGUUUGCUAAGUACAACAGUUAGGGUUCCUGUUCUCUAUUUAGAGAACAGGAAUUUGUUCUAUUGUAUUAAUAUGGCUUGUCACAUUUUGAUGAAUGUUUUGACUAUAAUCUGAGAUGAAUUGAUAGAAAUACAAUUCCCAAGUACUUUACAGAAAAUUAUUUAUAAUGUUUCUUUCAUCUUUUAAUGAAAGAAUGUUGUUUUCUUGUGACUGUAAGGAUUUUUUAUCUUUCUGUUUAAAUAGAAAUAUGUAAUGAAAAUUAGACAUUGGGAACCAAGUACUUCAAAUUUCUGUGUUUUUCCUUUUAUAAAGGCCACACUUUCUGAGAAGCUCUUUCACACUACUCUACCUUAAUUUAGCAUGCCAACAGAUUUUUUAUAUAGAUCCUCUUUAUCACUGAAAUUUUAAACUAUGUUUAUUGCUUGUGUAAACUUUUUUUGGUGGGGAGGCAGUACUGGAAAUUGAACUAGGGGUGCCUAACCACUGAGCCAUUUUUAUAUUUUAUUUAGAGACAGGGUCUCACUGAGUUGCUUAGCACCUUUCUAAGUUGCUGAGGCUGGCUUUGAAUUCAUGAUCCUCCUACUUGAGCCUCUGGGAUUACAGGCAUGUGCCACCACACCUGGCCUGCCUGUGUCUACUUAAUGCCGGUAGAGAUUCUUGGUAUUUGAGUUGUUGGAUUUUUCAAAGACCAUUUGUAUCAAGUGGACUUAUAAUACAGAGCUACAAGAAAAGUACUAUUUUUUUCCAGUGUUACCUAAGAAUGGUUCAUUUUCUACACUCUAUUUCUGACAAAGUUAACUUAUAAGGAAUGAAUGAAAUUACUUAGCAGACUUCUCUUCAUUUUAGUGCAUUCUUAAAAGCUUAUAUUCUGCAAAUAAUUCACAUAACUAAACAAUGAGCAUAAAUUAUAUACAUUGAGAAAUAUUAAAAAUUCAGUUAAUUAUUACCCAAUUCAUAGAUCACUUCUUCUAAGUCAAUACUUUUAUCUUAAGUUGUUUAUUUCUAGAAAAAGCCUUAAUAGGUACAAUAAUAAUAAUUUAAAUUAGCAAAUGUAUGUUCUGAAGAAAUUCUACAUUUUAUAAAUUCCAUUUAUGGCUUCUAUAAUACAUAUUUAGAAGUUUCCUAUAAAUAGCUUGGUAUCCUAUAAAAGCUGAAUUUUUAACAUGAUUUAUCUUAUUGGUGUUGAUCCUCAGGUGUGCAUGUCAUAAGACAUACAGAUGAUUGGAGUUUAGCAGACUUUUAUCACUCUCACUGAAGAAUUUUCUAAGCAGGUACAAAAAUUAGAGUCAUGAAUUAAAACAACACAGAGAUAAUAUGUGCACAGAGUAGAUAAUUUCUGCGCUAUUUUGUGGAAAGUUUCCUCAUAUCUAAUAUGAGAUAUUGAUAGUUUUAUGAGGUCUUUUGAUAAGCAAACAAAACUGUUAGAGGUCAUAUAUAAAUUAUGGGUUUGUUAACUAGAUGCCCCUCAAUAGAUGAAUGGAUAAAAAAAAUGUGGCAUUUUACACAAUGGAGUAUUACUCAGCACUAAAAAAUGACAAAAUCAUGGUAUUUGCAGGGAAAUGGAUGGCAUUAGAGCAGAUUAUGCUAAGUGAAGCUAGCCAAUCCCUGAAAAACAAAUGCCAAAUGUCUUCUUUGAUAUAAGGAGAGCAACUAAGAACAGAGCAGGGAGGAAGAGCAUGAGAAAAAGAUUAACAUUAAACAGGAAAGAGAGGUGGGAGGGAAAGGGAGAGAGAAGGGAAAUUGCAUGGAAAUGGAAGGAGACCCUCAUUGUUAUACAAAAUUACAUAUAAGAGGAUGUGAGGGGAAAGGGAAAAAAAACAAGGGAGAGAAAUGAAUUACAGUAGAUGG
rnacentral:lncRNA from 1 species